rnacentral:lncRNA from 1 species
AUGCAACUCAGUAUUUAUAAAAAUAUUUAAUAUAUUUUUCUAACAUUUUAGUUUUUGAUGCUUUAAUACCUGGGAAAUAAUAAUGUAUAUAAAUCAAACAUUUUUGUAGUUCUCUGUGCUAUUUUUAUACACUGUCCAUCUUGUGCAGUUUUGCACUUGUAUUUCUAUUAGUGUAUUUUUAGUUCUCUUACAGUAUGGUUAGCUGGAUAUAUUUUGUUGUGUACACCAAUGGAUGGUAUGCACAACAAAAUAUAUUUGAGUUACCACAACAUUGGUAUGCAUACCAAUGUUGGCCUUAUCCUUUGGGUUACCACCUUUUUUAUCUUUCAUCCUCUCCUUAUAGAUUUUUAACUGUUGAAAGAUUUACAGAAUGUUCAAUAAAUUUAAAAUAUAAAAUUCAAAUUUUUUGUUCUAAUAUGUUUAUAUUCUAGCUUGUUCUUAUUUAUGCUUGAUUUGUAUUCUGUCAGCUGAAGAGAACUGAACAGGCCAGGAAUGUUACUGAAUUAUGGACUUUAUUUGUGUUCAAUAAAUACUAAUUUGUUAGAUUUUCAUUUUUUUCCAUGGAUAAUUUUUCAUAUUUCUUCAAUAUAUAUGUAUAUACACAGAUGAUGAUGAUAAAUAUAGUGAAAUUUUAAAAAUUUUAAAUAAUACUCAGUUACUAGUGAAAAACAGUUAUAUAUUGCAGAGUGCUUUCAGUUUUAUUGAGCCAUCA